AAAUAUGAGUCAAACAAGAAAGUGAGUGAGUAAUAUUUCGAUUUUAUUACAAAAUCAUGAUGAUUUAAUUUGUAAUAAAAUCGAAAUAUUACUCACUCACUUUCUUGUUUGACUCAUAUUUUG